CAGACUUCUGUGCCAAGCCUCUUCUAUACUUAUUUGACACACUUCUGCUUGGUUAUACUAGAGCAUUCAUGGUUUCAAUCACCAUAUAUAUAUAUACACAUAUAUACUGAUGAAUCCCAAAGUUCAUAUCGUCAGCCCAGGUUUAUUUCCUAUGCUUUGGUUAUAGGCAAACACACACACACACACACACACACACACACCACAAACACACAAACACACAUCCUACAGGCGCUUACCUCAAUAUCAGCAUGUUCAAAACUGACACUUCAUCUUUUUGCACCCCAAUCAUGUUUUUUUAGCAUUCCCUGUCCUAGCAAAUGACACCACUAGUCAUCGAGUUUCCCAGUCCGGAGGUGUGAUAUCAUCUCUGAGUCUUUCCCCUUUUUCUCCCCAUGCAACCUAUCAACCAACAGUUGAAAAUAUUUCAUCUCCUCAUACCUUUCUACUCAUCCCUCUUCUCUCUGUCCGCACUGGCAUUAUCCUCUUCCAGACUACCAUCAUCUCUUAUCUGAUCUCCUUGAUUCUCCAGUCAUUCCCCCUGAAAUUAAUUCUCCAUACUUCAGCCAAACUGAUUUUUUAAAUGCAGAUGUGAUCAUGUUAAUCAGACAUUUAAAACCCAUCUUUGUACUUGAAUUACAUUUAGGAUAAAUGCAAGAACGCAUGAUAUGACCUGUAUAAUGAUUCACAUUCUCAACCUGCUUUCAACCCUAAUUUCAUUAUUAGACCCUCCCUUUCCACAGUUUUUAAAGUCCAAGGCAUACUUCACUUCUCUGUGUUCCUCAAAAUGCCCAUCUGAAAUAUUCCUCCUUCUCCUGGCUAGUUCCUUCAGAUCACAAUGUAUUAUUCAUUACGUCAGGAAAGCUUUCACUGAUGUCCCAAGUCCUAUUUAGAUCUUAAUUAUUUUAUUUUUGACAGACACUUAACCAGCACUUACAAACCACUUGGUAAAUAUUAAUUCACUAGAUGCCUAUGAUAAUAAUCAUGGGAGGCAAAUAUUAUUAUUACCCCAUUUUACAGGUGAGGAAACAAAGAUAUCUAUAACUUGCCCAAGCUUAUAGUGAGUCACAUAACCAGGAUUCUAAUAUUGAUAAUUUGGUUCCAGAUCCCAUAUUCCUAAGCACUAAAGUAUGCAGCCCAUAGGUACAAGAAGCCCUUUCUAGAUAUUUCUAUAUUACUUUUUACAAAUGCAUACAUUAUGACAUACUUCAUUUACUUGUCUGCCAAUUUUUCUAGCUUGUGAGCUCCAUAAGAGCAAGGAUUAUCUCUAGCUUAUUUGUGCCAUGUCCUUCUUUGUAUUUUCAAAAUAUGAAAGUGAAAAAAGUAAUGACAUUACUAACUAUGAUUGACAACAAGUAUUUACAAGAGUGAAGGAGAGAAUAUAUUUGUAAUUACUCAAGAAAUGACUUAAAUAAAAAAUUAUUUCUUCAGUUCAGAAUAUUUUAACAGAUCCUUUAGUGUCGAGCAUUCAAAACAGUGAUAAUGCAGUGUAUAGACAUUUUCUGGAUUCAAAUUCAAACAAACCAUCAGCAAAGGACGUUUUGGAGAGAACUGGGGAAAACCAAAUGCAGGAUAAAUUACAUCGAGGAAUUAUUGCUCAAGUUGUUGAUUGUGAACGUUAUGUUGCAAUUAUCUUUUAGAAUGCCUUAUCUAUUAGAAAUACUUAGUAAAGUAUUUAAAGGUAAAAAAAAAAUGUUGUCUGGGAUUUGUUUUGAAUGUUCCGGAUGUAUUUAUGAUUUACUUUUUCAAAGAGGAAAACUUUUUAAUGAAAAAAAAA
rnacentral:lncRNA from 1 species